rnacentral:rRNA from 1 species
AUUGAACGCUGGCGGCAGGCUUAACACAUGCAAGUCGAGCGGGGUGAUGGUGCUUGCACUAUCACUUAGCGGCGGACGGGUGAGUAAUGCUUAGGAAUCUGCCUAUUAGUGGGGGACAACAUCUCGAAAGGGAUGCUAAUACCGCAUACGUCCUACGGGAGAAAGCAGGGGAUCACUUGUGACCUUGCGCUAAUAGAUGAGCCUAAGGUGGAUUAGCUAGUUGGUGGGGUAAAGGCCUACCAAGGCGACGAUCUGUAGCGGGUCUGAGAGGAUGAUCCGCCACACUGGGACUGAGACACGGCCCAGACUCCUACGGGAGGCAGCAGUGGGGAAUAUGGGACAAUGGGGGGAACCCUGAUCCAGCCAUGCCGCGUGUGUGAAGAAGGCCUUAUGGUUGUAAAGCACUUUAAGCGAGGAGGAGGCUCUUUUGGUUAAUACCCAAGAUGAGUGGACGUUACUCGCAGAAUAAGCACCGGCUAACUCUGUGCCAGCCGCCGCCGUAA